CAAAGUCAUCCCUUCGAGCUCGUAGAACACCAGCCAUUGCCGUUUGCUGUCCUUCUUCGGCCAGCAGUUGGGGCCGUCCGGCGGCAUGAUCACUCCAUCCACCUGCAUUGAUUUCCAUGGUCCAUUCCAAUUCAGUAAAGACGAGUCCUGGCUGGCACGGGCCGGAGAAGAUAGUGGAAGUGAGCAUGAAGACUCCGUCCGCUGGCACGAGCAGCGUGGCCGACUCGACCUCGCAAGCAGCCUUCCAUGCUGAACGGAACGCUUCUGUGUCGUCGGUGCUGCCGUCACCGACCGCGCCAAACGAUCGGACGUCGAAAAUGCAGGAGUCAGAGCCCUCAUCGGAAGGUGGAGAGAUUACGGUGGAAGUGUCUGCUGUAGGCGGAACCGAAGGGGAGCCGACUUGUGACUCCAUUGUUCGACCACCACUUCUGCCUCUGUGACUUUGCUUCCCCUUGUGGAAAUGGCUUCUUCCAUAAACGCCGCGGGGACUCAACAACAAGAAUGCGAUUGCAAUGCAGAAAGCAAGCACUGCACAGGGGAUUCCCAUGUCAAGAUCAAUUAAAGGUGGAAACUGACAGGGAAUUGGUUGACGGUGUGGAAGUAAGAACAGAGGUGGAAGUUGAGGGAGGAGAGGAGCUCGCUGGGGUACUCAUUUAAAGCUACAGCGGUGACAUGGGAGAGGAGAACCACGAAGGAGGCGACAUCUGUCAGCUGCUUGCGCUAAAGUUAAAGGCCACAACAUCAGCAAUAGCAUCAGAUCAUCUGUGACGGAGGAGAUUCCUGGUUCACAAGUUUUCUAAAUUGUGAAGCUUCUGGAGAUUCACAUGUUCGGUACUCCUCCUUUUGUGAUCUUAUUAUUUAUGUUUUCAAGCUUUUAUACCUUUGGCACAAGCAUUGCAUAUUAGAUUGUAGUUUGCAGUAUAGGAUUUCUAACAUACAAAAAUAACACGAGGACAAAUGGAAGAACAAGAGCACGUUACCAAAAGAUACCCUUGAUAAGGAAAAUCAACCAAAAAAAACAUUAUAUUAUUUGAUUAUC